GGGAACAUAGCUCAGAUGGGAGAGCAUCUGCCUUACAAGCAGAGGGUCACAGGUUCGAGUCCUGUUGCUCCCA
rnacentral:tRNA from 1 species